rnacentral:rRNA from 1 species
AUAUCAGUAAGCGGAGGAGAAGAAAUUAACAAAGAUUGCCCCAGUAGCGGCGAGCGAAGAGGCAUAAGCUCAAGUUGAAAAUCUGGAAUGGCAACAUUCCCGAAUUGUAAUCUCAAGAGCUAUCCAGAACUGGAAGGUGACGCAUAAGUUCCUGGAAAGGGACGUCAUAGAGGGUGAUAACCCCGUGCUCGGCGUUACCCGAAGGGCAUGGAUGGCAGCCAAGAGUCGGGUUGUUUGGGACUGCAGCCCAAAAUGGGAGGUAAACUUCUCCUAAGGCUAAAUAUUGGUGGGAGACCGAUAGCGCACAAGUA